rnacentral:rRNA from 1 species
AAAUCGGGAAGCUUACCAUGCAAGUCGAACGGCAGCACGGACUUCGGUCUGGUGGCGAGUGGCGAACGGGUGAGUAAUGUAUCGGAACGUGCCCAGUAGCGGGGGAUAACUACGCGAAAGCGUAGCUAAUACCGCAUACGCCCUACGGGGGAAAGCAGGGGAUCGCAAGACCUUGCACUAUUGGAGCGGCCGAUAUCGGAUUAGCUAGUUGGUGGGGUAACGGCUCACCAAGGCGACGAUCCGUAGCUGGUUUGAGAGGACGACCAGCCACACUGGGACUGAGACACGGCCCAGACUCCUACGGGAGGCAGCAGUGGGGAAUUUUGGACAAUGGGGGAAACCCUGAUCCAGCCAUCCCGCGUGUGCGAUGAAGGCCUUCGGGUUGUAAAGCACUUUUGGCAGGAAAGAAACGUCGCGGGUUAAUACCCCGCGAAACUGACGGUACCUGCAGAAUAAGCACCGGCUAACUACGUGCCAGCAGCCGCCCGGUAAUA